UACAGAGGUCUCAAGCGUUGUUCGGAAUUACUGGGCGUAAAGGGUGCGCAGGCCGCGCGGGCAGUCAAAUGUGUAAUUCAGGGGCUCAACUCCUGCACUGCGAUUGAUACUUCCGCGCUCGAGCUUUGGAGAGGGGUCUGGAAUUCUCGGUGUAGCAGUGAAAUGCGUGGAUAUCGAGAAGAACACUUAGGGCGAAGGCAAGACUCUGGACAAAUGCUGACGCUCAGGCACGAAGGCUAGGGUAGCGAACGGG
rnacentral:rRNA from 1 species